AGAGUGGGCCGUGUGAUCGCUGCGGGACUAUAUAUUAGUGUCGUGGAGGAAAGUCCGGGCUUCACAGGACAUGGUGGUGGGUAACGCCCACCGUCCGCGAGGAUAGGGAAAGUGCCACAGAAAACAAACCGCCUGCCGGGCCUCGGCUCGGUCGGUAAGGGUGAAAAGGUGCGGUAAGAGCGCACCAGCAGCUCGGGUGACCGGGCUGGCUUGGUAAACCCCACCAGAAGCAAAACCAAGCAGAGGCGAGCCAGCCCUCGGGCGGCACGAGCCGGUCCGGUUCGUUACAGUCUCGGGUAGGUUGCUAGAGGUGCCGGGCAACCGGCAUCCCAGAUAAAUGAUCAUGCUCGACAGAACCCGGCUUACAGGCCCACUCUUUUU
rnacentral:RNase_P_RNA from 1 species